GCUUUUUACUUCAGAUUUGCCGGGUGCUGCCAGAUGUGCUAUCGCAUUUCCUCAGAUUGAACCCAGAGUUUGCUGCCUACGUGCCUGAUGCUGCAACUCCUGCAACACCUGCACUUGCCCCAGCUAGAGGAGAUGGGUGUAAGGAGGCCAGUUCAACAUCCAGUGUGAAAACAAUGGCCACAGAAUUCAUCAGAGCAUUGAUCAAUAACACCAAGAAAGGUGCCAGGAUGUGUUCUUGACCACACUGUGCAAGCAAUCCCAUCUGCUGCUGGAUCUACCUGAACAACUCACCGUGGAGCCACUAGUCAGCUCCGCUCAUUUAGGGGCAAAUCCUCCAGCUCUCAGCAAGAGGAAGACUUGAAGAGGCGCCAGAUAGGUUCGCUCACGCACAGAAGACAAGAAACCACAUUGUUGUUGCAGGCUGCCCCCAGAAGGCACGGAGGAUGUGACCCAUUUUUGCUGCUGUGCCAGCUCCUGUGCUGCGCACAAAGUUCCUGCUGCAGACCACGGAGACCUUCCCAGAGAGCUCUGCCUGCACAGCCCGGCCAGCGAUUUCUGCCUGCUCUGCAGCUAAUCAACAGCUCUGGGAAUUGCCAAGGAAUUACAUUCUUCCUCACAAAACAAGCUCCUGAGCUUCUCGCUGCUGUUAGCAUUUGCCUACUACUGCAGUGUUUGGCUCUCAACUACUAAGAUACUCUGCAGUGAGAAUGCUUGCAGCAUGCACAUGGGUACCUCCCUAAUUUAGUUGAAUAUUGCUUUACAUAAUCCCAAGUUUGGUAUUCCUGUGGCUCAUGUAGAUCCUUACCUACGCAUGUGGAAAAUGUUCUGCCUUCUGAAGAUGACCCUUCCUCCACAAAAGCCUGGUUGCCCAGACUCCAGCGGUCCUGCCACAGGAAAGGUCCUGGCCUCAUGUCAGACCAGGGAGAAUGAGAACCUCGCUCCCAUGGAUGCUCCAAGCCUUGUGCACCCUGUGCCCACCUACCCAUCACUGCCUCCAUCAGAGACCAGCUGGGACACUGCAGAGCAGGGAAACACAGGGCAGAUCUUUUUUCCCCCCAGAAAGUUCCAAGCGCUACAAGCAAGCAAGGACCAGAGCCUGGGAAAUGGUUACGGGGGGGUAAGUAACAAUUACAGAGCGGUCUUGGUUGGAAGAGAUCUUGAAGACCAUGAUGCUAUAAACACCCUGGGGAAAAAAAACAACAAACAAAACUGUUGCUGACUCCCGACCCUGGCCAGAGUCCGGAAUGGGUUUUCCUUUUUGCCGACUCCAUUCUGGACCCCAGCCGGAAUCUGAUCCAGGUUUUCCAAUUUGCUGUCUCCAUUCCAGAAUCUGGUUGGAAUCCAGUCCAGGUUUUCCAUUUUGCUGACUUCAUUCCGGACUCCGGCCAGAAUCUGGACACUAACUGGAAUCCGGUCCGGAUUUUCCAAUUUUCCGACUCCAUUCCAGACUCCAGCCGUAAUCCUGCUUGGGUUUUUCUUUUUGCCGACUCCACUCCUGACUCUGUCCGGAAUCCGGGGUUUCUUGAGGUCAGUUGGGGUUUCUUGAGGUCAUUUGAGUCCCUGCUGGGGUUACUUGAGAGCAUUUGUUUCGAGGAAAAUAUACAAACACCAGAGGUUUUUGUCCUCAAAUAGGAGGCUGAGGAGUCCUUCAUCUUUAUUCGAAUAAAGGGAGAGAGAAUCCAGUGGGGCA
rnacentral:lncRNA from 1 species